rnacentral:rRNA from 1 species
CGAAUGGGGAAACCCAGUGUGACUCGUCACACUAUCAUUAACUGAAUCCAUAGGUUAAUGAGGCGAACCGGGGGAACUGAAACAUCUAAGUACCCCGAGGAAAAGAAAUCAACCGAGAUUCCCCCAGUAGCGGCGAGCGAACGGGGAGGAGCCCAGAGCCUGAAUCAGCAUGUGUGUUAGUGGAAGCGUCUGGAAAGGCGCGCGAUACAGGGUGACA